rnacentral:rRNA from 1 species
CGGUGGAUUAGUGGCGAAGGUGAGUAACACGUGAGCAAUGUACCCUUGACUCUGGGAUAACUGCGGGAAACUGUAGAAUACCGGAUACGACCUUGGAAGGCAUCUUCCGGGGUGGAAAGUUUUUCGGUCAAGGAAGCUCGCGGCCUAUCAGCUAGUUGGUGAGGUAACGGCUCACCAAGGCAACGACGGGUACGGCCUGAGAGGGUGACCGGCCACACUGGGACUGAGACACGGCCCAGACUCCUACGGGGCAGCAGUGGGGAAUAUUGCACAAUGGGCGAAAGCCUGAUGCAGCAACGCCGCGUGAGACGAAGGCCUUCGGGUUGUAAACCUCUUUUAGUAGGGAAGAAGCGAAAGUGACGGUACGCAGAAAAAGCACCGGCUAACUACGUGCCAGCAGCCGCGGUAAUACGUAGGGUGCAAGUUGUCCGGAAUUAUUGGGCGUAAAGAGCUCGUAGGCGGUUUGUCGCGUCUGCUGUGAACCCGAGGCUCAACCUCGGGCCUGCAGUGGGUACGGGCAGACUAGAGUGCGGUAGGGGAAUGGAAUUCCUGGUGUAGCGGUGGAAUGCGCAGAUAUCAGGAGGAACACCAAUGGCGAGCAGUUCUCUGGGCCGUAACUGACGCUGAGGAGCGAAAGCGUGGGGAGCAAACAGGAUGAUACCCUGGUAGUCCACGCCGUAAACGUUGGGCGCUAGUUGUGGGGACCAUCCACGG